UGAAUUUUCAUUACCAAACAACAUAAUUUCCAAUUCCGAAUUUUGUUUUCGAAAAAAAGGAAAAAAUUUUCAUGGCCAGACGGGCCCAAAAUUUCAGCCGCAUCUAAUUGUCUUUUCUCUCUCGCUCUCUCUAAACUCCGGCCGCCUUCCUCACAGUCGGCGACGUCCUUCAUCACCACCUCUCCUUCCUCCUCCGAUUGUCAAAGUUGUCCGCAUCACCACCGCCGACAACCAAAGAGCCAGCGAAAUCUCCCCCAGCUGCUGCCUCCCUCCUUCAGAGGUUGAUGCUUCAAAUGCUGAUUUGUAUGCCCAGUUGCAGAAUGAGUGACAUAAAAAUAAGAGGAUGAGAAAGGAAUUGGACUUGUUGAUGAAGCAUGUAUACAAGAAAUCACCUUCAAAUGAUGAACACUCAUCUCAAGAAGACAACCAAGCUUAUGAGGAUGAAAGUGAUGAUGACUCUGAUGACGUGAAUGAAAGUGAUUCUAAUCAUGAUAACAUGGAUGAAAGUGAUUCUGACCAUGAUGGUUGAUAGUUUUAUUGAGGAUUCAAGUUUGAAAUAUUUUGUUUUCGACCAUUUAAGAAUCAUACAUUAUUGAUGUGGAUAUUAUGAAUUAUGUUUUUUUGUAACUGUAAUAAUUUACAUUAGACUUGUAUUGAAUGAUGUUUUUGAUAAUUAUUGACGGUUUUGAAUA